rfam:Pelobacter propionicus DSM 2379, complete genome.
GCCGUUUUAGCUCAGUUGGUAGAGCACAUCACUCGUAAUGAUGAGGUCGUCGGUUCGAUUCCGACAAACGGCU